CCCGCUGCCUCUGUCGCUUCGGCCCGGCCCCGGAGGACUGAGACGGGGACACCAGCCCCUCAGCCUGCCAACCCUUCGGCCGCAGCCAGCAUGGGGGGCCGCUGAGAGCCAGCUCCUCUUCCCUCUGGCACCUCCCCCGGCCACUGGCCACUGGACUCUGGCCAGCGAGGCUCGGCCACCUCUCGCUCGCAGUCCGACGCCUGGCACAGCCCUCGGCUCUGCUCCCCCGGCUCUGAGCAUCGUGUCCCCGCCUCCCCCCGCCCGCGCCUGGGACACCUGGGUCCCCCGGCGGCCCCAAGGAGAGGGGCGGGGGGGGGCAUGAAGCCACUGGAGAAAUUUUUGAAGAAGCAGACGUCGCAACUGGCGGGGCGAGCGGUGGCUGGAGGUCCCGGCGGGG
rnacentral:lncRNA from 1 species